ACGACCUACGGGACGCAGCAGUGAGGAAUAUUGGUCAAUGGUCGGGAGACUGAACCAGCCAAGCCGCGUGAGGGAUGAAGGUACAGAGUAUCGUAAACCUCUUUUGUCAGGGAACAAAGGCGGGGACGUGUCCCCGGAUGAGUGUACCUGAAGAAAAAGCAUCGGCUAACUCCGUGCCAGCAGCCGCGGUAAUACGUAGGUGGCAAGCGUUAUCCGGCUUUAUUGGGUGUAAAGGGCGUGUAGGCGGGAA
rnacentral:rRNA from 1 species